rnacentral:rRNA from 1 species
GGGUCAUUAGGUUGGUCGUGCCACCGGUACGUACUGGUCUCACUGAUUCCUCCUUCCCGAAGAACCGUAAUGCCAUUAAUUUGGUGUUGCGGGGAAACAGGACUGUUACUUUGAAAAAAUUAGAGUGUUUAAAGCAAGCUAACGCUUGAAUACAUUAGCAUGGAAUAAUGAAAUAGGACGAUCGAUCCUAUUUUGUUGGUUUCUAGGAUUGACGUA